rnacentral:rRNA from 1 species
UACGGGGGGAGCAAGCGUUGUUCGGAUUUACUGGGCGUAAAGGGCGCGUAGGCGGCUUAACAAGUCACUUGUGAAAUCUCCGGGCUUAACUCGGAACGGCCAAGUGAAACUGUGCGGCUAGAGUGCGGAAGGGGCAACUGGAAUUCUUGGUGUAGCGGUGAAAUGCGUAGAUAUCAAGAGGAACACCUGCGGCGAAGGCGGGUUGCUGGGCCGACACUGACGCUGAGACGCGAAAGCGUGGGGAGCGAACAGG